GAGUUUGAUCCUGGCUCAGAACGAACGCUGGCGGCAGGCCUAAGCACAUGCAAGUCGAACGAAGUCUUCGGACUUAGUGGCAGACGGGUGAGUAACGCGUGGGAACCUACCUGGAGGUUCGGAAUAACUCGGGGAAACUCGGGCUAAUACCGGAUACGCCCUUACGGGGAAAGAUUUAUCGCCUUUAGAUGGGCCCGCGUUGGAUUAGCUUGUUGGUGAGGUAAAAGCUCACCAAGGCGACGAUCCAUAGCUGGUCUGAGAGGAUGAUCAGCCACACUGGGACUGAGACACGGCCCAGACUCCUACGGGAGGCAGCAGUGAGGAAUAUUCGGCAAUGGGCGCAAGCCUGACCGAGCCAUGCCGCGUGAGUGAAGAAGGCCCUAGGGUUGUAAAGCUCUUUCACCGAUGAAGAUAAUGACGGUAGUCGGAGAAGAAGCCCCGGCUAACUUCGUGCCAGCAGCCGCGGUAAUACGAAGGGGGCUAGCGUUGUUCGGAAAUUACUGGGCGUAAAGCGCACGUAGGCGGAUUGUUUAGUCAGGGGUGAAAUCCCGGGGGCUCAACCCCGGAACUGCUCUGAUACUGGCAAUCUCGAGUUCGAGAGAGGUGAGUGGAAUCCGAGUGUAGAGGUGAACUUCGUAGAUAUUCGGAGGACCACAGUGGGCGAAGGGGGUCCACUGGGGUCGACACUGAACGCCUGAGGUGCGAAAAGCGUGGGGGAGCAAACCAGGAUUAGAUUAACCUGGAAGUC
rnacentral:rRNA from 1 species